rfam:Schistosoma margrebowiei strain Zambia genome assembly, scaffold: SMRZ_contig0000306
GCACUGCCGAGGAGUCCCACAAUAGGACGAAACGGCCGUUCAGUGC